AAGAUGGCGACCGGCGCACGGGUGAGUAACACGUAUCCAACCUGCCGAUGACUCGGGGAUAGCCUUUCGAAAGAAAGAUUAAUACCCGAUGGCAUAGUUCUUCCGCAUGGUAGAACUAUUAAAGAAUUUCGGUCAUCGAUGGGGAUGCGUUCCAUUAGGUUGUUGGCGGGGUAACGGCCCACCAAGCCUUCGAUGGAUAGGGGUUCUGAGAGGAAGGUCCCCCACAUUGGAACUGAGACACGGUCCAAACUCCUACGGGAGCAGCAUG
rnacentral:rRNA from 1 species